rnacentral:Y_RNA from 1 species
AGUUGGUCGGAGGGUUGUGGGUUAUUGUUAAACUAAUUAACAUUAUCUCCCCCUACAGCCAUGCUUGAUUAGCUUUGU